rnacentral:rRNA from 1 species
CCUACGGGAGGCAGCAGUGGGGAAUAUUGGGCAAUGGGCGCAAGCCUGACCCAGCAACGCCGCGUGAAGGAAGAAGGCUCUCGGGUUGUAAACUUCUUUUAUCAGGGACGAAGCAAGUGACGGUACCUGAUGAAUAAGCCACGGCUAACUACGUGCCAGCAGCCGCGGGAAUACGUAGGGGGCAAGCGUUAUCCGGAUUUACUGGGUGUAAAGGGCGUGUAGGCGGGAAAGUAAGUCAGAUGUGAAAACCAUGGGCUCAACCUGUGGCCUGCAUUUGAAACUGUUUUUCUUGAGUGCUGGAGAGGCAGGCGGAAUGCGUGGUGUAGCGGUGAAAUGCGUAGAUAUUAGGAGGAACACCAGUGGCGAAGGCGGCCUGCGGGACAGCAACUGACGCUGAGGCGCGAAAGCGUGGGGAGCAAACAGGAUUAGAUACCCCAGUAGUC